UCUCCUUGCUCUCAGCGUGUGGCCGUCUUCAGCUGCACUAGGAAGGGUCAAGAGCUGUUUGUGCUGGAAGGCGCGUUCAUUUUUAAAAGUGGACCUGGCACACCUCUUCUAGGAAAGACUUCACUCCCUGGGAUUCUGAUGGCCUCUCGAGGGUGGAGGUGUCUUCAAUACUACCCUGUGAGAUGUGUAGCCAAGACACCAAGAGCAAGGACAGUCUGGCUCCAUUCUGAGACAAUGACUGGCACCUAGUAGGGCCCUGAAAUGGGCCAACUGACCGUCAGGGGCAGUGUUCGCUCCCACCAUAUCUAACGGCCAUACUGUUUGGAUGGAGAGAGGAA